GGAAAGGAAAAGCUCUGAUGUGGUGAGCACCUGGCCCUGGCAUAUCCUGGCAGCUCUUUCUUUUGCUGCAGGGAAAUGAAAGAUAGAGAAGGAGUACAGAAGGAAAGAGAAUGAAAAUGGGAUGUUUCAAAGAUGAUAGAAAGAAUAUGAUUGUUUUUUGACAAUGGUGAAAAUUAGCUUUCAUGAUAUGGAGGUGUUGCGGGCUGGGGGAGGUUUAGAAAUUUUUCCCAUUAUUAUGUUAAGCUAGCAGGGGUGGCUCCCCUUUUAGCUGUUUAAGUGCUCAAGACAAAAGGAUGGCUGGGCGGGCCCUGAUUUUCUUGAUUGCCGAAAGUGGAGUGCUGCUUUUGUCCUUCGGCGGGUGGGGGGACACUGGCAGCUCGCCGGCCAAACUCAAGGAGAGAUUGCUUUCUCCCUGGUGGGAUCAGGCUCCUUGGACUCGGACUGCUAAAGCUUCCUGCUUCUGAGAACUGGUACGCCCACGGAAUACAUAAGCUGCUAUUAAGUCUACAUGAGAAUUAUGUGCCUCAAAGAAGAAUGCUGAAAACCUGCAAAGAGCAGCUACCUGCAAGAAAUGUUGUGAUAAAUAUAGCCCUUCAUGGCCUCUGACACUUCAGCUGUCAACACCUACAGCUACUUUGGCAAUACUUAAACAUUCUCAGUAGAGCCCAAGACAUAUCAUAAGAGACAAAGUAUUUGAAGCCAUUCAGAGAGUCCUGGACAGGCUUGAGAGGUAAACCUGUGCAGAGCUCAUGAAGUUUAACAAGGCCAAGUGCAAGGAUUGAGGCAAUCAAGAGCACAAGUGCAGGUUGGGAAGAGCACGGACUGAGAGCAACCCCAAUGAGAAAGAUUUGUGUGUUUUGGUGGACAAGCGUUCACAGCCCAGAAAACCAACCACAUCCUGGGCUGCAUUCAAAGCAGAGUGGCCAGUAGGUCAAGGGAGAUGAUUCUUCCCCUCUACUCUGUCUUCAUGAGACCCCACCUGGAAGUACUGCAUCUAGCUCUGGGGACCCCAACACAAGAAAGUCAAGACCCUCUUGGAGCAAGUCCAUAAAGAGCAAUAAAGAUGAAGUCAACCUAUCCCAUGGGACUGUGGAGGAGCUUCAAAGGACAUGGAUGAGAAAUUUUAAGAGUCCCAGAGAGAAGUUAAGCUCUGAACUGUCCACUGUGUAAGUCUUACUCAUGAGAGAGUCAUUUACAAGAAUGAACCAUCAUUCAAAAUGAGG